AUUGAACGCUGGCGGCAGGCCUAACACAUGCAAGUCGAACGAGUGGCGGACGGGUGAGUAAUGUCUGGGAAACUGCGCGAUGGAGGGGGAUAACUACUGUAAACGGUAGCUAAUACCGCAUACCAUCGGAUGUGCCCAGAUUGGAUUAGCUAGUAGGGGGGGUAACGGCACACCAAGGCGACGAUCCCUAGCUGGUCUGAGAGGAUGACCAGCCACACUGGAACUGAGACACGGCCCAGACUCCUACGGGAGGCAGCAGUGGGGAAUAUUGGACAAUGGGCGAAAGCCUGAUGCAGCCAUGCCGCGUGUAUGAAGAAGGCUUUCGGGUUGUAAAGUACUUUUAGCGGGGAGGCGUUACUCGCAGAAGAAGCACCGGCUAACUCCGUGCCAGCAGCCGCGGUAAUUC
rnacentral:rRNA from 1 species